rnacentral:lncRNA from 1 species
UUUUAGGGCUCGUUUUCUCUCUCUCUCUCUCUCUCUCUCGCUCUCUCGCUUCUCCUUCCGCUCAUUUCUCUUGUUCCUUUUCUCUCUCCAGUGAGUUCUUCUUCCUCUUCCUUUUUGUUCGGUUUGUUCUUUUCAAUCUUUUACUUUAUUUUCAUUUUAUCUUUUAUUUUGUGUUAUCUUAUUUCGAUUUAUUCACAUGCAUGUGUUCAUUUAACUAUUUCAUGUCAAUCCUUGGUAGUUAGGACACCUCAAUAAGAGUACAGAGACCCUCUGUAAAGAGAAAGUCCCCCAAGAACAGUACAAUACUUAUGUUCUGCAAUUUUUUUUGGUUUUCUUUCAACUUACUGGUGUUCUAGCAUAAGACAAUUUUUUUUGUAUAAAAAGACUUAAAUUAAUCACAAAAAAAAUGUACCGUCCAAGUAUUAGGCGAUUGAUGUUUAAGUAUUCUAACUCAAAAUUAACCGCUCAACUGAAUUCGCAUUUAUUGGAUUUUAGCCCUUAUUGUGUUUGAUGAAAUAUUUCAACUGAUGUUGAUAUUUGAUAUAGGUGGCCCUAAAAAUCUGUUUGGGAGUUAUAACCUACACUUCAGAUAAAAAUCCCUUUCAAGAAUUGUUCAUAAAGAGGUAUGAGCUCUCAUAAUCAAGUUUAAUGUCGUUCUUCUCUUUUAUGCCAAAACACUAUCAAUCCCAAUGUAUUUUUCUUUCCUCUUUCCUCAUGUAAAAUUAUGCUUGAGCUUUGCAGCCCAAUUGGUAGCACGAUGAACCAGGAAUUAGAAACCUCGGGUAAAUCUUUUAGUCCCUUUUAAUUAUUUUAGUAGUUUUUAAAUUUUUAUGUUACAUAAAAUUGAGAAGUUAUACUGGAGUAGGAUAUAAUCCCUCACUUGACACUUUACUUUCGUUCAUUUGAGGUUUUGUAUCUACGUCAUUUGUCAUGGUCCCUAUCCUUUAGAGUUAAGCCUCAUUCUUCGUGAAGAACUUUGUCUGAUUUGUUUUUGAUAAUGAACUUUGUCUGAUAUCUUAUGAAACUAAAGCUGGUGACCAGUCUUUAUUCAACAUUUUCUACUCAGAAAGGACUUACUUUUGUAUCUUCUAGAAUUCGAUAACCAAUUUUCAUGGUAUUCUUUUUCACAGAAGUACACACACAUAUUUUUUCAAAAUGAAACUCUUUAUUAACUUAUCAUAUGUAUGAGCAGAUAUGCACAUUGCAAUCCACAUCCCAUGGCAAGUUGUUAACGUCCAUAAUCAAUUUGUAGUUGAUUUGCAUCAAAUUUCAAUCAUAUAAACCUACUUUACAACUUUCACUUGCAAAAAACUGAUUUAGUGUUGUUGUCUUAUGAAGCGAGUGGAGUUCUAUAUUUCUUUUCUUCAUAGUUGUCAAACUUUGAACAAUGAACAUAGCUAAAUAAUAUGUUAAGCCCUGGGAAGCUUAAAGCUCAAGUUAAUUAAUAAGCAGUUGUAUGUUGAUCGGAGCUCGAACUAAGUUUAGCUCAAGGUCAAGCCUUGAACAAAAGUACUAUUAUUGAUACUUUCUUUUCAGACAACAAUCAUAAAAGAACAAAAAAGUCUAAAAGAUACUUGUAACAUUCAUAUCAUUAGAGAAAUAAUAUUCCCACAUUCAUUUAUAACAUGAUACAGAUCAAGUGAAAACCUUAGUUGUUAAUUAAUCUCGACUUCUUGAUAGUUAGGUCAUUUUAAUUAAGUUAUCAGAAUAUGGUAGUUGAAAAAUAAAUCUACCUUUAUUGGUUUAAUUCAGAGAUCUAAAGUUAAGGUGUAACAAUAGAAUACAACUCACUAAUUUUAGUGUGCUUACCACCUUCAUCAACAUGCUUUGACUUGGAACUUAAAAGUUUCAACCUUUUUUGGGUUAAAAAUUUCAAUUACUUUAGCGAUUCCUGAUUCUUGCACUUUUUGUUCACAUGAUUUUUACAUUUUUGUUUUACGUUCUAUAUAAGGCCAAGAAAAUUUGUUAUAUGCAUUUGGUUUACCUUGGUUUUCUCCGCGAAAAGAGCUUGGGUUCUCUGUUGUGCAAGGAUACCUUGUAUUCUUAUAAUAAGUUCGUUCUCAGUUUUUCACAACUUCAUUCUAUCACGCGUCAGUAUGUGCUUAGUAUUUUUAUCUUUCAGCUGGUCAUUAUGAAGAAUGAGAAUUUCGUGGGUGGAGCUAGAAUUUUCAGUGGAUGUAAAUUGUCAAACCAAUAUGAAGCUAUAUAUAGAAGGUUCAGAUGGUUCUUAUAUCGAAACAAAUGAGCACACUGAUUUAGCUUCAUAGGACGAUCACUUGGUUUUUGUUAUAGCCAGACAGAGGAUAUAUUGGACCAUUUUCAAAGUCUACUAAAAACAAUCUAUUGCAUACAAAGCACAUUCAAAGCCAAAUUUUUUACAAACUUUCCCUUCUCUACAAUAGAACUUUUUUUCCCUCUAUUUUUCCAAAAUAAACCUAGAAAUACACAGAUAGAAAUAGUUAUAACAUACCUGAUAGAGGUAGUGAGGAGGAAUCCAACAUCAAGGAAAAAUAAGAUACAUAUUAUCUAGAUGUAAUACAAUUCUUUUGAUAUUGUUAUAUCAUCAAGGUGCCUUGAAAUACAUAAAUGGAAACAUUAAUAUACUUGAUGUCAGCAUCUCUUAGAGCUAACACAUAACCCCAAUCAGCACCGCAAGCACACAUGUAGUUACAACAACAGAUCAGAUGCAAACUAUAUCUAAAUUAAAAAAUUGCAUACGAAAUCUUAUAAAAGAAACUGAUUUAGGAAAAAUUUUCAAGGGUAUUCUCAGCAAGCUGUAAGAAGAGAAGUAGAGUUCAGAAGCUGGACUCAAACUGAAGCAAGCAAAUGUAGGUGACACCAAAUAAUCCACAAGUUAGUUUUCUUAUUUGGUGGAGAAACAUUAUAUCAUUUGUAAAAGUGCAUGAGAGAUUUUUUCUGCUGAAAUGGACAAAAACAAAAAGUAUAAAUUCCUAAAACCUAGAGUCAUUUUUAAUGCAAUAUAGAACAAUACUCUAUUGUAUUGAUGCAGAGGACUAACUGAUAACAUGACCAAACAAAUAACAAAAGCUCACUCCAAAGAUAUAUUAAUCCAGAAUCAACAAAUAGGCUCCAACCCGCUGCGCCAUGUUCUUUCCCUAAACCAAAAGAAAUGCAUGUCAUCUAGAGAAAUGUAACGGCUACUCUGGUUAUCCAUUUGGAAUUGGAACAAUUGGAAAGAAGAAUCUAGAAAAGCAGUGGCAAUAAUGAUGAAACACUUUUGAGCUAUUAAAUAAUAUUCUUGAUGAAAACUUGUGAAAAUGCCAAAAACAAAUGCGACAUACCUGAGUUUUUAACUUCUACAAUAAACUGUGCACUCAGACUAACACAUAGUUCAACUUCUAUUUUUCGAUUAUUGAGAUUGGAGAUGGAAUAAGUGUUUUCUAUCUCAAAGGACACAUCUAGAAGUGAUGGUCUUGAUAGGGUAUCCAAUUAUCACUACGAGUUGUAGAUAAAGAUCUCAAAGUAGCUAAGAUUUGAUAUUACUUAUAGAUAUAUUUCUCUUCUGCAAUCUGAAGUAAAUUUCCCGGUUGAAAUCAGGCGUGGAAUAUAGGAGGACAUAAGUCAUGCUUCUUUAGCCUUGGACAAAGUGCUCAAUUGUCUGAUAAUAAUACUACUUAUAAUUAUAUUAGCUCAUUGCGAAAUAGAUGUUGGAAUAACUGAUUUUUGGUAUAUAGUUGUGAUGACUUCAUUGGAUACUUCGUAAUAUUUGCUUUUUUCUAUGUUAGCCUCUUCAAAUUAUUUUGCUACUUUCCCUGACGACAUGGAUGAACAUGUGUCUCCCUUUGUGUAUAAGUUAUGUGUAAAAAUUGGUUAUUUACAUACAAGAACUAAUUUAGCAAAAUUUUGUUAUUCCACCAUCUCCGACAAAAGGUCAUUUACUUUUUUACUUGCUAAUUCUUCCUCUCGGUUCAUUAUGAAUUCUUAGAUGUGCAACAAUGAAAUCACAUAUCAGUCUAUAGAACCAAAAAAUCUCAGGUCUAUUGAUAGAAUUUCAACAUUUUCAUCUUGUCAUAUCAUUACUUUCAGCAAUUGAAUUGCUUAUGAACAGAGAUGGCAGCAUCAACUUCAGUGGAUUAAUUGUGACAUGUUGUGAUCAAGUUGAAGAGUACAUAUGUUGCUGAAGCUUUUCGAAAAAUAAUAGAUAUAAGCUCCCCCCCUACAAUUUCAU